CUUUAAAAGGUGUUUUGCACAAGAAGAUUUGAGUUUCUAGGAGGUUACCCUUUAAAGA
rnacentral:tRNA from 1 species